GAGUUUGAUCGUGGCUCAGGAUGAACGCUGGCGGCGUGCUUAAGACAUGCAAGUCGAACGCAGUCGCUCCGCAAGGGGCGGCUGAGUGGCGAAUGGGUGCGUAACACGUAGGUGACCUGCCCGGAAGUGGGGAAUAACAGUCCGAAAGGACUGCUAAUACCGCAUGCGGUGCACGGGUUUAGAAGCCGUGCUCCAAAGGUUUCCGCAAGGAAGCCGCUUUCGGAGGGGCCUGCGGCCCAUCAGCUAGUUGGUAGGGUAACGGCCUACCAAGGCGACGACGGGUAGGGGACCUGAGAGGGUGACCCCCCACACU
rnacentral:rRNA from 1 species